GCCCUGCUCAUAUGACAUUGAUUUUAAAUCAAAAUCAUGUAGAAUCAUUGUAUAUGUGAAUUAUAGGGCCCAUGGUUCAAUUAUGCAGGCUGUUGAUCCGAUGGGUGCUCGAGAAAAUCUCCAGGCGAUAGGUCGAAAGCUUAUGUUCAUCCAACCUGGGAGUUUUUGGAGGAUCCCCUAUCCACGGUGGGGCCUAUCAAGUCAAUGGUCUGGAUCACCGAACCAUGGGCUAUAGGUUUGUAGGGAGUCAUAGAUCCAAUGCAAAUUCUUUCUACCUUAUAGGGCCAGAUGGACCCAACUAUUAUCAUGGUGCCAUUAGAUAGGAGUCCACUGUGGAUGUUGCAUGGCCCCAAUCUCACCACGAUUGGCUGAUCAAAUCCAUUCAAACAAGAGCCUACAAAAUGGAUUGUAAGAUCUUACUAUCCUUUUGCAUGGCCUUAUUGCAUGUCUGUAACUAUCUAAUCAUAGUUAUCCUUAAUUCAUGAGCAAUCUGUGGUGGAUUCCUCUUAUCCAAUGUUCUUUGCUGAUCAAAUGUAGGAUCACUUGGGUGGGCCCCACAUUAGUAAGGUUCAAAGAAUUUGAACUGGAUCAUAGACUUCUAAAGUCUAGAUACAUGGUAAUUUCCAUUGCAGAAUGCCUUAUAAGAUCCAUACCUUCACUGAGAACGAGAACAAGAUCACUGUCUAUAACCGUGUGGAUUCUAUGUGCUAUGGUUACCACCGUCUGAUCAUUGAACUCCGGACGAACGAUCUGCUGUAUAACACCAUCAGUCGCAGAGUCUACAGAGGCAGUUGCUUCAUCAAGGUUAAGAAUGCUGCUUCUCUUCAGCAAGGCUCUUCCAAGACAGAACAGCUGCCGCUGGCCGACACUCCAAUUUUGUCCGUUUUCGACCACUUUGGUGUAGAAUCGAAGAAAGACAUCGGUGCACGGAGGAUGCUAUGAAGCAUGUUGCUGAAGAACUUUUGUGAAGUAAGAAGGCUGGUUAUUGCUACUAGCAUUGAUCGGACGAGUACACACAGCGAACUUCCAACCGAG